UCUCUACCACACGGUGGAGAACGUCACCGAGCAUCAAGCAGUCUGCGCCUUCAAGGCAGGCGUGCGGUACAGAGAGCUGUACUUAAAGUUCGGUCGGACAGGCGACAUCUUCAUGAGCAAGAUGAUGGAGAUAGCGACGCGCUAUGCAAAUGGCGAAGAGGAGGACCGCAUCCGGAGCGGCAAGAACAAGACAGUCGGCGAUGCUGACGGAGGUAACACUCGGAAGCAGAAACAGAAAGC
rnacentral:lncRNA from 1 species